rnacentral:rRNA from 1 species
AGAGUUUGAUCCUGGCUCAGGACGAACGCUGGCGGCGUGCCUAAUACAUGCAAGUCGAGCGGACCGGAUCGGAGCUUGCUCUGGUUUGGUCAGCGGCGGACGGGUGAGUAACACGUGGGCAACCUGCCCGCAAGACCGGGAUAACUCCGGGAAACCGGAGCUAAUACCGGAUAACACCGAAGACCGCAUGGUCUUUGGUUGAAAGGCGGCCUUUGGCUGUCACUUGCGGAUGGGCCCGCGGCGCAUUAGCUAGUUGGUGAGGUAACGGCUCACCAAGGCGACGAUGCGUAGCCGGCCUGAGAGGGUGACCGGCCACACUGGGACUGAGACACGGCCCAGACUCCUACGGGAGGCAGCAGUAGGGAAUCUUCCGCAAUGGGCGAAAGCCUGACGGAGCGACGCCGCGUGAGCGAAGAAGGCCUUCGGGUCGUAAAGCUCUGUUGUGAGGGACGAAGGAGCGCCGUUCGAAGAGGGCGGCGCGGUGACGGUACCUCACGAGGAAGCCCCGGCUAACUACGUGCCAGCAGCCGCGGUAAUACGUAGGGGGCGAGCGUUGUCCGGAAUUAUUGGGCGUAAAGCGCGCGCAGGCGGUCCCUUAAGUCUGAUGUGAAAGCCCACGGCUCAACCGUGGAGGGUCAUUGGAAACUGGGGGACUUGAGUGCAGGAGAGGAGAGCGGAAUUCCACGUGUAGCGGUGAAAUGCGUAGAGAUGUGGAGGAACACCAGUGGCGAACGCGGCUCUCUGGCCUGCAACUGACGCUGAGGCGCGAAAGCGUGGGAGCAAAC